GGAAAGUAUUAUAAGCUUACUGCUAAUAAGCUUAAGAAAUUUAUUAAUUUCAUUUUCCU
rnacentral:tRNA from 1 species